rnacentral:rRNA from 1 species
CCAGACUCCUACGGGAGGCAGCAGUGGGGAAUAUUGGGCAAUGGGCGCAAGCCUGACCCAGCAACGCCGCGUGAAGGAAGAAGGCUUUCGGGUUGUAAACUUCUUUUAUUCGGGACGAAGCAAGUGACGGUACCGAAUGAAUAAGCCACGGCUAACUACGUGCCAGCAGCCGCGGUAAUACGUAGGUGGCGAGCGUUGUUCGGAAUGACUGGGCGUAAAGGGUGCGUAGGCGGUAGUACAAGUUAGAAGUGAAAUACCCAGGGCUUAACUCGGGUGCUGCUUCUAAAACUGUACGACUUGAGUGCAGUAGAGGUUAGUGGAAUUCCUAGUGUAGCGGUGGAAUGCGUAGAUAUUAGGAGGAACACCAGAGGCGAAGGCGGCUAACUGGACUGUAACUGACGCUGAGGCACGAAAGUGUGGGGAGCAAACAGGAUUAGAUACCCCCGUAA